AUACUUACCUGGCAGGGGAGAUACCAUGAUCCCAAAGGUGGUUUGCCCAGGGCGAGGCUUAGCCAUUGUACUCCAGAUGUGCUGACCACUGCGAUUUCCCCAAAUGAGUGUUUCUGGUAAUCAUGGACCUUUCUCGUGGGGCGUUUGUUUUUGUUUUCAUAAUA